GCAACACUUUUGCCCAGCCUCUUUCAGGUUCAAAAAUGGGGGAGAGGAAAAUCCUGAUCUCCCUUGGUUUUUCCAUUCUACUACUGUCCAAUACAUGUCCUUCAAACCUUUAAUUGAAUGUGAUUCUCUAAACGCCAUUGAAUGAUUCGUCCGGCUAAAAUUGAUCCAUUAUCUAUUCCCAUGGAUAUCUGGCCGGACAUGUCUGGCUCAGGCAACCUGGCAGCGAGAUUGCCCACUUUUUUGGGAAAGAUGAUGACCACCAAAACUCAACGGCGUGGGAACUAUAGAGUGGUGAAGCGAGACCGAUAGAUAGCUUCCCGUCACUGUGUUGCGGGAUGGACUUACUUCUUAGCCUCAUCGGCAUGAACAGUCAUGUUAUCAUCCAACGCGAGGCGUGGCAUUGGCUCUGGCGCAUUUCUCUGUGACUUCAGAAAUGCUUCGCGCGCCUCCCAGGUCUGAGAACGUGAUUCGGG
rnacentral:sRNA from 1 species